ACCAAACAAUCUGGCUAUUCCUUCAAUCUGCAGCUCUAUCUAGACGAAAACAGCAGAAAAGGGUAUUUUUGAUACAAAUAUAUAUUUUAAAAAAGUCUCUAAAUGGCCAAGGAAAGUCAUAGAUUGGUCUUAACGGUCUUGCCUAAACAUAAUUUCCAGCUACAGAAGUCGCACUAACAGUGUAAAAAAAAGGGGGGUUGUUUUUGUAAACACAGCAGACAUUCAAAUGAGAUAUAAAUAAUUUUGGUAAAAAAAAUUGCAAUAAUUGAUAAAGAUCGGCUGUUUACAUCUUGAAAUUGUCUCUUUUUUUUUUAAAAGGUUGGAAAAGACCAAAGUCCAGAUUCUUAUCAAACUCAAAUCAAUUUGUUUAGAGGAAUUACUCCAGUAUUGGACACUAUUGUAUAAAAAAUGUUCAAAAUUACAGUAAAAAAUAUAACCACAUUGUGCGAUAAAAAUAAAAUAAAUCUUAUACUUAAUACAUCUUAUACAUGUUAUACGGCACUAAAAUUAUCUUCCUCUUUCGUAACAAAUUGUUAAAAUGCAAAAGUAAUCUAUUGCAAUAGAUUUCAUUAUACACAGUGGCGGAUUCAGCGGGGGGCGUAGAGGGCGUACGCCCCCCCCCCCCUUUUGCUUGACGUUUUUUUUUUUUUUUUUUGUAAAAUAAUUAAUUAGACUAGACUUCAUGAAACUUUCCAUUUCCUGUGUAUUAUGUUUUUAAGCGACAAUUCUUUGGUUACAAAUGUAUAUUUUGCACGUAUUUACUGUAUUAUAUUAUUGGUUAUGUAAAAGUUAUGUGAUUUGCUACGAGUUAACCAGUGCAUCGAAAAAACGUCAACUCAGUCAUUUUGAAAUUCAAAUAACAGUAACACAUUGCUUUGGCUGAGGGUGACAAGUAUGACACCUUCAAAGCGACAAAGAAUUGAGCAAGAACGUAGUGACUUCUAUUUCACAAUUCCACAAACAGAAAGUAAUACUCUAUUAUACUCUCAUAAAAAAAAGUUUCACAGCAAUAUUAUUUACCUAUCAAAACAUGUUAACCCCACACGCCUCAGCUUAUUAAUAACUGUUACAUAGCUGAAUAAUGAUCCCCAAUCAGCAAGCUCUAUAUAGAUUUAAAGUCUAAGGUAUGGCAGUUAGAUUUGAGGGGGAAGUCUGAGAUGUUUGAGAGAAGAAAAAUUACCCUGAUUUUUGCCUUAAACAUGUUAAUCAUGUUAAACAUAAAUUCUGGUCGUAUUUGGAAUGAAAACAAUAAGCUUGUCCACUUAUUUGCUAUUAGAAACAAAAUUUCCAACAAAAUUAUUUGGCCUUUAUGUCUCAAUUUGUCAUUCAUAAAUUCGUAGUCUUUUCAGACUCAUUUGUAGUUUUUGGUUGAAUUAGAACCUCACUUUCCUUGUUUUGUGAAACAUUUCAACCAAACAUUUUGAUAAAAUUUCUUGUUUGUCUUUCUUAAAUAGUGUCGGUCGUAUUGUAAAUUUCAUUGAAUAUAUAUAUAGCCCGGCGUUUAUCUUGUUUACAACAAGAUAUCUGUGAGGUUAUACCAACUAAACAUACAACAAACAAGAAUUUUCCAUGCCCAUAUUUUACUGACAAGUCUGACAUCAAAUAUAUUAGUCCAUAUCAUUACAUAAUAGAUAGUUUAUGUGGAGAAUACGGCAUAAAAAAUGUUUUAAGCUCGUACACUUUAACAGCAACUAUAGAAUAACAACAACAACAACAACAAUACAUUAUUAAGAGGGUUACACAGUAGCUAUAUAAACUAAUCUUCCCUGAGGACCCCUCAUCAUGGAGAAAUCAAACAAAAUGCAUAACAUUUACAUUGCUAACAUUAGUAUAAAAAGUCAAGUAUAGGUAAUAAUUUCUCAAUACAACUUGAUUAAAAAUGUGAUGAAAAAAAUAAACAUGAUGACAAUGUAUCAGUUUUUAAUAUUAUUGAUAAUAGCUAGAUUGAUUUCAAUAAAUGAUCUGUUUAUUUGUAUUUGAAAGAAUAACAUUUGUAUAUGCUUAACGGUAUGAAAUUAUUCCACUAAGAAUGGUCCAGAAAUACAUAAAGAUUUUUUGAACAACCUUCGUUUUUGUUUAGAGUAUGAGGUUUCCUUGAACAGCAUUUCUCAAGGGGUAUGAUUUCUGUCUUGAAACAUAAUGAAACUGUUAGUAAGAUAUGAUGGGGGCAUCAUUUUUAAUGCACUUAAAUGUCAAUCACUUAACUAUGAUAUUUUAUUCUCUGUUCAACUGUACAUCCAGUUUAAAUGUUUGAAUUGAAGGGUUUGCAGAAGGAGCGAAUGAGUCUGUUUCUAGUAUUAAUCUAGCAAGCCCUCUUUUUUAUUUUAAUAAUCCUUUUUUAAACCCUCACUGCUACAACUACUCCACACUAUACAACAUUAAUCAAUUUCAGUGGCAAGAUAUAACCAUGAUAUAGAAUAAUUUUCUGCAGUCUAGAUUUAGAAAUUUUUUAAUCUUUAAUAGUUACGAUAUAGAUCUAGAUGAUAUUUUUGACAGAUCACUCAAUCUGGUUUGUCCAUGUAGAAAGGUCAAUUUUAAUGCCUUAAAAAGACUUCACAUGUGAAGAUUGUCAGUCAGCUGAUGUACAUACGUUAAACAACUUCUCAAUUAGUAAUGUGGCAUUGCUCUUUGCUUCGUUCAAUAAUCAUAUUAUUUUGUUUUAUUUUUAUUGAUGAACAAUUGUUAUCAUUGCACCAUUCCCUACACCAUGUAAAUCGUCUUGUACCUUGACGUAGAGUUUGAUAACAAAUAACCAGAAAGAAUGUAAAGUUGAAUCACGCAUCAUAAAUCCAGCUGCAACCAAUUUUGCAAAAAUAGGAGAUCGUUUAUGUGAUAAUAUUAAAACAGAAGGGCCUAAUAGAGCCUUGGGCGGGGACACAUAAUUGAUAAUAAGUUUUUCAGAAUGAGCAUUACCAAUUUGUACUUGUUUGAGUUCUUUCAUUCAAAUAAUUGAUUUAAAAAAAAGAAACAGCAGUAUUAUCCAAAUCCAUUAAAUUUCAAGUUUUUUAAAGAAUAUCAGUGAUUUACUACAUCAAAAGCUUUCUAUAAAAUCCAACAGGACGUGCUUAAGUUGAUAUUACCAUCAUUCAUUGCCGUAUCAUUAUCUAUGAUAUUGAGAAAGGCAGUUGGCAAGAUGGUUCUUGUCGAAACCCAGGACUGUGCUGGGUAGUAAAAGAUUCUAAUACUUUUUAGGUGUUCAACAAAUGAUUUGAAACAUGCUUUUUCUAAAAGUUUUGAUAAAACGGAAAGUACAUGCCCAAAGUCAGGAACCAUUUAAAAAGUGCAUUUUACACUUAUUUUAUGGUUUUUUAGCCUAAAAAAGGUCCCAAAACAUUAUUUAUUUCGCCCCCCCCCUCUUUCCAAAAUCCUUGAUCCGCCCCUGAUACCUUUAAUCUUUUAUUCACAUAUAUAUAUAUACUAAAGUAAUUGUUUGUAUUUUACUACCAUGUAUUCGAAUUGUUUAUCCAUCUGGUCAUUACCAUUUAUUGUAAAUGCGUUUGUACCAAUAAAAUAUUGUCUAUUGUCUAUUGUCUGUUAACAGUGGCCGUCAGUUGGUCUGAUUGGGGUCUAAGCGUGAUGCAGGAUUACUGAUUUUUUGUAAGCUUGACACGUGAAAGUCAAAUUAUUGUGUCGUGAAAACGUGAAAUGAGGUCUAGCGGGACCAGGGAAAUGACAAAAAGUGAGAAUUGCUUACGUACAUAGUGUAAGCGGGAUACAGGAAUCUGACAAAACAGUAAGCGGGAUCCGGGAUCGUAACCCCCCAAUGAGACCCCCUUAACAAAUUAUGUAUUAGACUAGUCCAAGUAAUUAUGAUGUCUGGGAAGGCUAUUCUUUUUUUCUAGGAAGUCUUCCUCCCAGAAAAAAAAUAAAAUAGGCUUGCCAGAUGUCAUAAUUAUUUGGACUAGUCUUUGACAAGGUUGAAAAUAAUUAAGUGAGGUUCAUUCUUUUACAGAGUUAUGCCCUUUUAAAAUAUUAAUUAUAUGGAAUAUUGCUCUAAUGUACACAGAUUUUUAUGAAAUUUAUAUUACCGGUUUACAUCAUCAAUGUCUUUUGACAAGUAUAUAAAACACUGUGCUGUCAAUUAUUCUUAAAAGAGUAAGGUCACUUGUGUACAAUAUUAUUGAUAGAAUUUUACAAUCUUUAUCUAUAUUUUAUAACUUCUACCAAUCUAGGCACACCUCCAGAGUCCUGUCUCUUUGUAAAUAUAUUAGUUUUCAACAAGUAAAGUGAACACAUUUUUGUCGAGCCUGCAACUUUUGUUGCAGAAAGCUCGACAUAGGGAUAGUGAUCUGGCGGCUACAGCGUCGGCUACUGCGGCGCGUUAGCUAACUACUUAAAAGGUUUAUAUUUUAGAAGGUGAAAGACCUGGAUGCUUCAUACUUUGUAUAUAGAUGCCUCAUGUUACGAAGUUUCCGUCAGCACAUGCUCCAAUGUCUUGACCUCAUUUUCAUCGUUCAUGACCAUUGAAAACAAAAAGUCAGGAAUUUUUGUAAUGUUGAAUUCUCUUUAUUAUAAGGAAUAGGAUAACUAAUAUUGGUAUAUCGCCUACCUUGCCAAGGUCUCAUGCCCGUCAACAGUUUCUCACUUGACCUCGAACUCAUUUCAUGGAUCAGUGACAAGGUUAAGUUUGUUGGUCAAGUCCAAUAUCUCAGAAACUAAUAAGCAAUAGGGCUUAGUUAUAUUGGUAUGGAAGACUGGAACGGUCUGUACAUGUUCCAACUGGCAGUGUAUCUGGACUUGACUCAUUUUCAGUAUGGUUCAGUUUGUUAUAGUUAAGUUUUUGUGUUUUGGUCUGUUUUUCUCAUACUUUAUGCAAUAGGUCCACUAUAUUUGUUGUAUGGAAUGAUUGUAAGGUGUACAUGUCUAGCGGGCAGAUGUCAUCUGACCUUGACCUCAUUUUCAUGGUUCAGUGGUCAAAGUUAAGUUUAUAAGUUUUGGUCUUUUUAUCUAAUAUUAUAUGCCAAAGGUCAACUAUAUUUGGUGUAUGGAAAUAUAUUAUGAUUUAUAUGUCAGUCCUGCAGGUUUUAUUUGACCAUGACCUCAAUUGCACGGAGUUCAUUUGCACAGUGUUUAAUUUUUUUGUUUUGGUCGUAUCUUUUCUCAAACUAUAAGAUAAAUAGCGUCAACUAUAUUUGUUGUUAUGGAAGCUUUUUAGCUUGUACUGUCUGCCUGGCAUGGUUCAUCUGACUUGACCUCAUUUUCAUGUUCAUUUGUCUUUGUUAGCAUCUUGGUUCAAUGUUAAGUUUUAUGUGACAGUUGUAAUAAAGCUUUAUACUUUACUAGCCAGGGGGGACUCUGCUUAACCAUAAUAUCAAUGCAUUAGUAAGAAAGUCGACAGACAUUUCUCCGUGUGUGCACUCUUGUUUUAAUUAGGAUAGAGCCAAGGCAGUCCACAGCUUUUUUAAAAGCUCAAACUUGUCAUGCUUGUAUAAAAUCAUGUUACUUUUUUUAAAGGUUAAUUAUAUGUAGAGAAUUAUUUUACAGAUAUUAGAGAACAAGCAAGCAGUUAUUUUAAAGAAUGAAACUGGAACAUUGAAUUCCUUUCUUGGAAGGAGAAGAAAUAUAAAGAUGUUAUAAGACUGAUGUAACUAUGGACAGUAGUGAUCCAGUCACCAAUAUCACAGAUAUCACAGGUUUGAAAUGUGUUCUGUUUUAUGCCCAAAACAAAUACUUUUUCUGAUAUAUAUAAGAAUUUGCCAAUGGGUGUUGCAGCAAAACCUCGAUUUGGUUUCUAUUAUAUUAAUUAGGAAAUAACAAUAAUUUACUUUAAUCACCUACAGCAUCAAUUGGUGAUUUGAUUGUUGCAAAUUAAAUUUACUGGCGAUACAAUAUCGUUAUAAAAUUGAGAAUGGAAAUGGGGAAUGUGUCAAAGAGACAACAAACCGACCAAAGAGCAAAAACAGCCAUCUCCAAUUUUAAGUGAAGAAUGGAAGAAAAAAAGUUAAACAUACCCAUUAAUAUUCAUCAUACUCGUGCUUAAGUAUAAGGCUAUAGCUUUUGAAGAGAUGUUGUCAUGUGGGAAUCUACCUACGUUUGAUUUGUAUGAAAUAAACACAAUGAACAGACUAGAUUUGCUUGCCUGCAUUGAAAGACCCAAAUCGGUGGCCUUUGGCUGUUAUAUGCUCUUUUGGUCAGGCUGUUUUGCUGUCUCUAUUGACAUAUUUCCCCAUUUCCAUUCUGCAGUUUUUUGUCAGAUGAAACUUAUGGACUUGACUGCUCUUUAUUCAUUUAAAGAAUAUAGAAAAAACUGUUUUAAUUUUAUAGAAUAUAAAGAAUGAAAGACCCCCAUUGUCAUCAAACUUAUUUCACAACUUAAUUUUGUAUCAGACACAUGCACUGAAUCUAGAAAUAAAAGACAAUGUUUCUUUGCAUUUUUUUCUUCAAAUUUUAUUUAAAGAAACAACAGCAUUCAGCAUAUAUAUACCACAUUACAACCACCCAUACUGGAAACCCAUGACGAUGAUUCCUCUGGUUCACGGAGAUUACAUGACCAUAACAUUUUUGUACGUUUGGUUUACAUGGCGGAUUAAUAGUGCCACCAUCUUCUAUUUGAUAUUACAAUGAUUUGUGAUUAACAUAGAAAAACCAAAACAGACAAAGAAAAGUGAAUAUAGAUAUAAGAAGAUGUGGUAUGCAGUGCCAAUGAGACAACUCUCCAAUCCAAGCCACAAUUUGUAGAGUAAACCAUUAAAGGUACAAAGUGAUGCAUCUUCAACACAGACCCUUGGGCUCACGACCGAACAGCAAAGCCUUAAUGGACCCCAAAAAAUGAUAGUGUAAAACCAUUCAAACGGGGGGAAAACAAACAGUUCUAAUAUCUAUUUAAAAAAACCAGAAAUGAAAAACACUUAUAUAAAGCACAUCAACAACCGACAACUACUGAACAUCAGAUUCCUGACCUUGGACUGGUUCAAACAAAUGCAGUAUUAAUAAACUUUUUAAUAGGUACCAACCUUCACCCUUAUCUGAAACAAUAGUGUAAAAUCACAACAAAGAAACAAGAUGAGAUACUCUCUAUUAUUAAAGAUUGAACAUAUAAGGAAAUUGGGAUAAUGCUUAGGGCUAUUCCAGAAAAAAAUGUAUGGGGGGGUUGGAAGGCACUUUUUGUCAGCACCCGCCACCCAGACAAUUGUAAUUGAGACUUGUAGUGCAUUAUAGUGUGAAAAGUGCUCUGAUACCCAUCACCCAUGUAUUAUUAAUACAAUGUGCCUUCCAACCCCCCCCAUACAUUUUUUUCUGGAAUAGCCCUUAAGAAAAAUGGGACAUAAUAAUAAAGAAUAGAGAAAAAUAGAUGAAAUAAAUAAAAUACCAUUAGACUGUUUGGUGAUGCUUGAAAUUUGUCCAUGGCAUUCAUAAUAUCUACUACUUCUCCGACCCUUGUAUUAGUUAUUUGUGAUGUCAAAAAAUGAAGGUGAUAACAAGGACCUGUUGGAGAAUAAUAAAGUGGUGAAAUAUUUUACUGAAUCAGCCUUACAGAAAAAGAUGAAGAGCUGUCUACAAUUGACAAACGUCAUAAGGAAGCUAACUUUUGAUUUUUAUUGAGGGGCUAGGAUGAAAUUGUUAAGAAGGCAGAACAGGAGUUUUGAGUAAAAAAAGGGUAGGAUGAGCAACUUGGCAAACAGAAGAGAACGGAUGACAAUUUAUGGGAAAAAAGUCAGGAUGAACUAGUUAAAAAAAUGCAAGACCGAAGAGAAUGAAAAAAGCAGGACAGACUUUACAACUAAAUAAUGCAGGACAACAUUUUUCAUUCAUUAGAGCCCCAGGAAUUGGUAUGUACUGAUAGUAUACGCCACACUGAAAGUAAUUAAUAUACUUUAUGUUUUUAUCAUAUUUAUAGAUAAUCAAAAAUAAUAUAUAAACUUUUUGUCUUUUCAGAUCAACUAUGUUAUUAAGAAACGGCCCUGACAUUCCCAUGGAUGAUAUUCCUCUGUCAAUCAGAACAAAUCUAGAAAAUGGCCGACUCUAAAUCAUGUAUACAGCAGCCAUCUUGAGGGAGACAGAUUGAAGACUAUGAAUGUCAGAAAACAUUUAAAAUGGCAUGAAAAAUGUAAAAAAAAAUACUGUGUUCUCAUUAGCUAAAAUAUUUUGCUUGUAAAACCUGGUUGUACUAUUUUUAAGAUGUGAUUUUUUUAUUUUUAUUUUUUUA
rnacentral:lncRNA from 1 species